ensembl:misc_RNA Metazoa_SRP Metazoan signal recognition particle RNA
GCUGGGUGUGGUGGCGUGCACCCAUAGUCCCAGCUACUUGGGAGGCUGAGGUGGAUCGCUUGAGUCCAGGAGUUCUGGGUUCACACUAAGUUUGACAUCAAUAUGGUGACAUCCCAGGAGCCAGGGACUACCAGGUUUCCUAAGGAGGGGUGAACCAGCCCAGGUUGGAAAUGAAACAGGCCAUUUAUCUCUCACCUCAAACAGUUAAUAAUUUCUUUGUAUUGGUAGCAUCGAAAUUCCUUUCU